rnacentral:rRNA from 1 species
UACAGAGGCCUCGAGCGUUAGGCGGAAUCACUGGGCUUAAAGCGUGUGUAGGCGGAUGCCUAAGUACCUUGUGAAUCCCACGGCUCAACCGUGGAACUGCUGGUAUACUGGGUGUCUUGGUGCAUCUAGGCUGCCGGAACAAUGUGAGCGGUGAAUGCGUAGAUAUCAUUGACGCCAACGCGAAGCAGCAGCUGGAUGCACGACGCUGAGACACGAAGCCAGGAGCGACGG